rnacentral:lncRNA from 1 species
CCUACCAUUCAAGGAGAUAACUUGGCAUGCAAGUCACAAAGAAUCUAGAAAUCCUCACCCAUGUGGAAAGAUAUUUGUAAACACCUCAGGACUUUAAGGAACUGCUUUACUUUCCAGCACGGUGAUGGCCUAAACAAUCACAUUUCAGAAGAUGCUGUUGAGUAUUUUCAAAAUGGACAUAUAUUUAUUUAAGGUCACCU